GAUGAAGAACGUAGCGAAAUGCGAUAAGUAAUGUGAAUUGCAGAACUCAGUGAAUCAUCGAAUCUUUGAACGCACAUUGCGCCCCUUGGUAUUCCGAGGGGCAUGCCUGUUCGAGCGUCAUUAUAACCCCUCAAGCUCAGCUUGGUGUUGGGGCCUGCUGCACUGGCAGCCCUUAAAAUCAGUGGCGGCGCCAUCUGGCUCUAAGCGUAGUAAUUCUUCUCGCUAUGGAGUCCUGGUGGAUGCUUGCCAUCAACCCCCAAUUUUUCUAUGGUUGACCUCGGAUCAGGUAGGGAUACCCGCUGAACUUAAGCAUAUCAAUAAGCGGAGGA
rnacentral:misc_RNA from 1 species